CUCAGUUAAGCAAAGUGAAAACAGGCGGGAGAUGAGUUCUCUUACAUAAAUCAGUUAAGUUAAUGUUCGAAAAACAGUUGAGUUUGAAUUCAUGGACAUCCCACAGCUCUUGUUCUUCCUCAAAACAUUCACCAACACAAGAUUACUUACACAAGGCAAACUUGUACAUCAAAAGAUCUUAACUUUAGGCUUAAAAAACAACAUUGUCCUCUCCAAAAAUCUCAUAACUUUCUACUUUUCUUGCCAAGAUUUUAACUAUGGCAGGCUUGUUUUUCAAUCUGUAGAAAACCCUUUUGAUAUAUCUUUGUGGAAUAGCCUUAUGGCAGCUUACACUAGGAAUUAUAAAUUCUUGGAAGUUCUUGAUCUUUUUCGAGUUUUGUUGUUGCAAUUUGAUUGUAUUAGGCCUGAUAAUUAUACUUACCCUAGUGUUUUGAAGUGUUGUAGUGAGUUGGGUAGGAUUGAUUAUGGUGGGAUAGUUCAUGGUAGUGUGUUGAAAAGAGGUUAUGUUUGGGAUGUGGUUGUGGCAAGUUCUGUUGUGGGGAUGUAUGCGAAAGGUGGGUUGUUUGGGUAUGCGAUGAGAGUGUUUGAUGAAAUGCCUGCGAGGGAUGUUCCGUGUUGGAAUGCUGUUAUGUCUUGUUACUAUCAUGAUGGGCAGUGGGAGAAAGCGUUGGAAUUGUUUGGGAGAAUGAAGGGGUCUGGAUUUUCGCCUGAUUCUGUUAGUUAUACUACUGCGAUUUCUUCGUGUUCUAGGCUUUUGGAUUUGGAAAGGGGGAAGGUUAUUCAUCAUGAAAUGUUGAGUAGUGGGUUUCCUUUGGAUAGUUUUGUUAGUGCUGCUCUUGUUGAUAUGUAUGGGAAAUGUGGUUGUUUAGAGACGGCUAUUGAGGUUUUUGAUCAAAUGCCCAAAAAGAGCUUAGUUUCCUGGAAUUCUAUGAUUGCAGGAUAUAGAUUACGAGGAGACAGUAAUUCAGGAAUUAAACUUUUGUGGAGAAUGAUUGAAGAAGGAAACAAACCUACUUCGACAACUUUGAGCAGCUUAUUAAUGGCUUGUUCUAACUCGGUGACACUACUACAUGGGAAGUUCCUUCAUGGUUAUAUGAUCAGAAAUAACAUUGAAGCUGAUAUAUUCAUCCUGAACACGCUUGUAGAUCUUUACUUUAAAUGCCGCCGUACUAAGUAUGCUGAGUUCAUUUUCAGAGCAAUGACAAAGACGGAUAUAGUGGCAUGGAAUGUAAUGAUUUCUGGUUAUGUAUCGGUAGGUUGUUACUUGAAGGCUAUUGGCAUAUUCAAUGAUAUGAAAGAAGCUGGGAUAAAACCUGAUGCAUUUUCACUGGCUAGUGUCCUUGCAGCAUGUUCACAAUUAGGUGCCUUAAAGCAGGGCAAAGAGAUACACAAGUCAAUGAGUUUGAGUAUGAUUGAAUCAAAUCAAAUAGUCGUUGGAGCUCUUCUUGAUAUGUAUGCUAAAUGUGGUGCUGUUAAUGAAGCUAUCAGCGUUUUUAAUCAGUUACGGGUGAAAGACCUUGUAUCAUGGACUUCAAUGAUAAUGGCUUAUGGAUCUCAUGGCCAGGCAUGUGAAGCUUUGCAGCUUUUUAAAGAAAUGCAGAAGUCUAAUAUCAAACCUGACAGAGUUACUUUCUUGGCUGUCAUUUCUGCAUGUAGUCAUGCAGGAUUAGUUGACGAGGGACUUUACUAUUACAGCACAAUGAUCAAUAACUAUAGGAUUCAACCCACAAUUGCUGAGCUAUCGUGCUUGAUAGAUUUACUUGGGCGUGCUGGAAAAUUACAAGAAGCUUAUGGUAUUCUCCAGAGGACCCCGGAUAUUAAAGAUGAUAUUGAUUUGUUAAGUACACUACUUUCUGCAUGCCAUAUGCAUGGUGAACUAGAACUAGGGGAGGAAAUUGCAAGCUUGCUAAUUGAGAGGGAUCCUAAUGAUCCAUCAACUUACAUUAUCUUAGCAAAGAUGUACGCUUCUGGCAGAAAAUGGAAUGAGGCACGCAAAGUCAGACUGAAGAUGAAAGAGCUCGGGCUGAAAAAGAAUCCCGGGUGUAGCUGGAUAGAGAUUGAUGGAAGAAUUAAACCCUUCUUUGUUGAAGACACUGAAGUAUCACAACAAGAUAUGAUAUAUUCGUGUUUAUCCAUUCUUGCCAGUCACAUGGAGAAGGAUGAACUGGUUGUGGAUGAUUCGCAUUAGGCAUAAUUAGUUUCACUGUCAUAUCAUGAAUAGGAGGUGAUUAUAUGAUACCUUUGCUUAUGUUGCUGCACAAUUGUACAAAUUCAAAGAUUUAUUUUGUGGAUGGAGAUGGAUUUGCUCACAUGAAGAUCUAUUUCGCGCAUUUUGGACUGCCAAGGAUAGUCCAGAAGCAACCGCACUGGAUCCCAGAAAAAAACCAGUGAGGUAUAUAUGAACAUUAAUACUUGCAAAGUAGCAGUGAAAAUGGUUUGCUUCGACCUAUUGUAUCCUAAUAUGUUGAUUUUGACAUUUGCUCACUACACCUUGCUCCUCGAUACUAGUUGACUAUAGAUUAACCUAAAAUGAACAUGACUGUUUCUGACUAGUCAUAUUAGAUAUGCUUUUCUAUACUUCAAUUUUAAUGCGGGGUUGCCAUAAAUACAUGUAAGGCUUAAAUUUAUGAUAUGCUUAUCAGGCGACAAGUCAAAUUCCCUUGAGGCCUUUUAGAUCCCUAGGCAUCAGUAUAUCCCUUGUUGUCAGAAGAACUCGAUGCAUUUUCUCUUUGUUUACAUUCGUAGACAGUAUUUGCUUAUGAGUAAUACUUACGAUAAUAUGUUUCUUUUUACUUUUGCACAUUUAACUUAACUUAAUAUGUAAUAUGACAGCGCCUGAAAACUCAGGCUUAGAUGCAAAUGGAAAUUUAUUUGAUUUCAUGAUGAAGUUUCUCCACUUGUGGCGUAACAGAAGUGUUGGAUUUUCAAUCAUCGCUUCCUAUUUAAUAGUAUAGAAUCAACAAGUACAUAGACGAAGUCUGUAUUUUUCUUGAAAAUAGCAUAGUAGUAAUAAUAAUAGCGACAAUACAAUAAGUGCUUGUAUGUAAUUAGACAAUCCUACUACCAUUAACUGAUUAAAGACACUUGCCACCUCCCAUAGGUUGUAAUAUCUUUGAAUAAGUAAUAAUAACUACUUAUAUAACUGCUAGUAACCACCGGAGACUUAUUUAUGGUUAGGAACCUGUCUUAGUGACCACCAAUAACUGAUAGGAAACUGUACUUUCUAACAAUCUGCAUGCUUUGACAACUUUUAUUCUACAUCAACUUGGAAUGGAAUCCAAGUGAAAAUUCCAUUAGCGGUGCUUCUGGAAACAGCUUGCACAUGUAUUAUGCAUACAAUAUGGAUCCUUACAAAAAAAUAUUGCAUGAAUAAAUAUACUGGACUGCUGUUGGAGAAGACCUUAUCCGAACAUCUAAAGGUUUGGUUUAUGCAUACUCGUAUAUGUAGAAUUCACCUAUUUAGUGUUGAAGGUUAAGAAGUUUGCUUAUCAUUAUCUGCAAGGAACUUGUAUCUGUAGUCUGUCCUCUUUCUGAUUAUUGCUUUAUCAGUCUGUUCUCCAUUUUGUUAUCUUUGUAACUCUUUCAGAAGGAGAACUUUAGUUCCUUCCUACUGUGUUGGGUUCAAAUCGAGUAGAAAGGAAACGUAAAGUGAAGAAUGUUACUCAUCGUCGCCUUUAGGUUGAGGGUAAAUGUUGUUUUACAACAGUUUUGUUGUGAAGAGCUGCUGCUAAUCUGCAGGCCAAAAGUUUCUCAUGUUUCUCUGUAACAGAUCUUUAGGAUAAUUAUAGACUCUUUUUGCUAGUUUUUUUUAAAUCAGUUCUUUUGUAAGCUAAUCCAAAUUGCUUUCGCUGUUUACUUAAAAAGAAUAUUUAUCUAUUUCCGUACUCAGCUUUUCCGGUUCGGAGCCAUUAUAUAUGCCAGAUAGGAUGCACGAUGAGGUGAUUACAUAAAAUGUUGUAAGGGCCUGUUACAAAAAAUAAAAAAAGCAUCACAUCUAAUUCAGAUUAUUAUGAAGGACAACAGUAUGUAUAUAUCUUUCAGAAAUUUGUUUUAAUGGAGUGCACACUGAUAAACUUGUAGUUGAAAAACUUUGAAGGUUUGGUUUUUACCUUAUAAAGAAGCGUCAUGAUAGUUACUUUACCAUUCCCUUUUUCAUUAAGUGUUUUAUUCAGAGUUUAAUUUUUAAACUCACGCUUCUUCCAAGUACUUUGAUAAAACUACACCUUGGACUGAAAGGUGUGAUGUUGCAUUUCCUUUGUGCUUCACAAAAUGAAUUAGACUGAUGCAUGUACUUGGGGAAGGUAGUUUUUCAAUUUUUGGUCUCAUCGUUUUGAAAUUGCCCAUUCCCUCAUUAGUGCCUAUAUUGUUUUCAAAUUUACCUCUAACAUGUAUACAUUUUAUCUGAUGUUUUUGUGGAGAUCAGCAUGAAAGUUUCAGGGAUCUAUAUUUGUCAAAUAUCAGUAAUGUAUAGUUACUGCAAGAAUAAUUACUACAAUAAAAGUCAGAUGUAGUGUAGAUAGUUUGUAGGCAACUUGUCCCCUAUUCCUAUCCUAGCAUCUAUCUCUACUGCUAGCAGUAAGUAAUAUAGACAGUAACUUCUCAGUUUUGUUCUGUAAAUAAAGGCUUAGCCUCAUUGUAAUACUUGGAGCAGUUACUGAAUUGCUCCAAGUAUUACAAUGAGGCUAAUCUCCACAAACAUCAGAUAAAAAAUACAGUCCUGAACCUACUUUAAGCAAUGAGUUUGGUGUGAUUAUAUGUAUCAAGUAAUAAUUACCGGGAUAUUGAAAUAAAACAAAAGCAUACAAAACCAUAUUCUCCUAUAUAACUUUGUGAUGCUAAAUUUCUUGACCUUGAUCUCUGGCCUGCAGGUUGUUGCUGGAAAUAUGAACUAAAAGAGACCAGGGUAAAUUGGUCCCUUGAGAACCUUGAAUUCAAAUAUCAGGUAAGGCUUAAAGAUUGAAUAUAUAUCAAUUGUCUUUGCUUUCAAAUGUUCGUGUACGUGAUUUCUGACAAUAAAGAAUGUAGCUGUACGUGUGAGCAGGACCUGGAUGUUUGAAAUACUGUUACAUGGAACAUUGACUUUGUUUUUGUAGCCUGUUCUAUAUUUGUUUAUUAAUUGUGUGUAGAUGACCAGGUAGAUAAUCAAGGAGGAAAACCAAUAGUUGUCCCAUUUGUGAGACAAAAUUUGUCAGGUGGUCAUCGGAUCAACAUUUGAUUUAACGAAAUUUCUGAUAUGUUUCGAUUAUCUCUAAUUAAUAUUAAAUUUUUCAUGUAUAAAGCUAUGUAGGACCACAAUAGAGGUCUUAAAACAACAAAAAAUGUUAGUUAUCUGGCUUUGCGACAAAACAGCUGAUUAUCUAAAAGGGAAUCUAGAAUAAGAUCUCUAUGGACAGUUUAUGAACGUUCAAUCUGGUUAUUGUAUUAAAGUAUAAUAGAAAGAAUUUAUUGGACAGAGUGGAGCAACUCCCGUUGACUAAUGGGCACAAAAGAGUUCAAAAUAUGAUGAUAUACCUACUAUGUCAUAUUUUGUGUUCUUGUUUAACCAUCAUACUGAUUAAGAUAGCAAGUAUAACUUGAUGAGGGAAUUACUGGGGAUGAAAAGGUGUUGGCCAAAAUUUCCUCUCUCUUAAAUAUUUUUGCUAUUUAUUGGCAAAAGUUUCCUGGAUAAAUAUACAAUUUCUUCAGCAUUAGGUGUGUAGGAUUGUCCACAUUCAGUCAUAAUAGUAUAUAUGAGAUAAGAUUAUUAUUUGGUGUUUACUAGUUAUAUUUCAAUGAUCUAAA